rnacentral:rRNA from 1 species
UACAUGGGGUGCAAACGUUGCUCGGAAUUAUUGGGCGUAAAGCGCACGUAGGCGGUCCGUUAAGUCGGAUGUGAAAGCCCCCCGGCUCAACCGGGGAAGUGCAUCCGAAACUGGCAGGCUAGAGUACGAAAGAGGGUCGCGGAAUUCCCGGUGUAGAGGUGAAAUUCGUAGAUAUCGGGAGGAACACCGGUGGCGAAGGCGGCGACCUGGGUCGAUACUGACGCUGAGGUGCGAAAGCGUGGGGGAGCAAACAGG